AGGGUUUGAUUUUGGUUCAGAACGAACGCUGGCGGCGCGGAUAAGACAUGCAAGUCGAACGAGAGAAUUGCUAGCUUGCUAAUAAUUCUCUAGUGGCGCACGGGUGAGUAACACGUGAGUAACCUGCCCCCGAGAGCGGGAUAGCCCUGGGAAACUGGGAUUAAUACCGCAUAGUAUCGAAAGAUUAAAGCAGCAAUGCGCUUGGGGAUGGGCUCGCGGCCUAUUAGUUAGUUGGUGAGGUAACGGCUCACCAAGGCGAUGACGGGUAGCCGGUCUGAGAGGAUGUCCGGCCACACUGGAACUGAGACACGGUCCAGACACCUACGGGUGGCAGCAGUCGAGAAUCAUUCACAAUGGGGGAAACCCUGAUGGUGCGACGCCGCGUGGGGGAAUGAAGGUCUUCGGAUUGUAAACCCCUGUCAUGUGGGAGCAAAUUAAAAAGAUAGUACCACAAGAGGAAGAGACGGCUAACUCUGUGCCAGCAGCCGCGGUAAUACAGAGGUCUCAAGCGUUGUUCGGAAUCACUGGGCGUAAAGCGUGCGUAGGCUGUUUCGUAAGUCGUGUGUGAAAGGCGCGGGCUCAACCCGCGGACGGCACAUGAUACUGCGAGACUAGAGUAAUGGAGGGGGAACCGGAAUUCUCGGUGUAGCAGUGAAAUGCGUAGAUAUCGAGAGGAACACUCGUGGCGAAGGCGGGUUCCUGGACAUUAACUGACGCUGAGGCACGAAGGCCAGGGGAGCGAAAGGGAUUAGAUACCCCUGUAGUCCUGGCAGUAAACGGUGCACGCUUGGUGUGCGGGGAAUCGACCCCCUGCGUGCCGGAGCUAACGCGUUAAGCGUGCCGCCUGGGGAGUACGGUCGCAAGAUUAAAACUCAAAGAAAUUGACGGGGACCCGCACAAGCGGUGGAGUAUGUGGCUUAAUUCGAUGCAACGCGAAGAACCUUACCUGGGCUUGACAUGUAAUGAACAACAUGUGAAAGCAUGCGACUCUUCGGAGGCGUUACACAGGUGCUGCAGGGCCGUCGUCAGCUCGUGUCGUGAGAUGUUUGGUUAAGUCCAGCAACGAGCGCAACCCCUGUUGCCAGUUACCAGCACGUGAAGGUGGGGACUCUGGCGAGACUGCCCAGAUCAACUGGGAGGAAGGUGGGGACGACGUCAGGUCAGUAUGGCCCUUAUGCCCAGGGCUGCACACGUACUACAAUGCCCAGUACAGAGGGGGCCGAAGCCGCGAGGCGGAGGAAAUCCUAAAAACUGGGCCCAGUUCGGACUGUAGGCUGCAACCCGCCUACACGAAGCCGGAAUCGCUAGUAAUGGCGCAUCAGCUACGGCGCCGUGAAUACGUUCCCGGGUCUUGUACACACCGCCCGUCACAUCAUGGAAGCCGGUCGCACCCGAAGUAUCUGAAGCCAACCGCAAGGAGGCAGGGUCCUAAGGUGAGACUGGUAACUGGGAUG
rnacentral:rRNA from 1 species